rnacentral:siRNA from 1 species
CAAAUUCUAUUUGUUCUUCGCCG